UACGUAGGGUGCGAGCGUUAAUCGGAAUUACUGGGCGUAAAGCGUGCGCAGGCGGUUCGUUGUGUCGGCGGUGAAAGCCCCGGGCUCAACCUGGGAAUGGCCGUUGAAACUGGCGAACUGGAGUGUGGCAGGAGGGGGGUGGAAUUCCGCGUGUAGCAGUGAAAUGCGUAGAGAUGCGGAGGAACACCGAUGGCGAAGGCAGCCCCCUGGGCUGACACUGACGCUCAGGCACGAAAGCGUGGGGAGCAAACAGG
rnacentral:rRNA from 1 species